rnacentral:rRNA from 1 species
GAUGAACGCUGGCGGCGUGCUUAACACAUGCAAGUCGAACGAAGCAUUUAGAACAGAUUAUUUCGGUAUGAAGUUUUUAUGACUGAGUGGCGGACGGGUGAGUAACGCGUGGGUAACCUGCCUUGUACUGGGGGAUAGCAGCUGGAAACGGCUGGUAAUACCGCAUAAGCGCACAAUGUUGCAUGACAUGGUGUGAAAAACUCCGGUGGUAUAAGAUGGACCCGCGUCUGAUUAGCUAGUUGGUGAGAUAACAGCCCACCAAGGCGACGAUCAGUAGCCGACCUGAGAGGGUGACCGGCCACAUUGGGACUGAGACACGGCCCAGACUCCUACGGGAGCAGCAGUGGGGAAUAUUGCACAAUGGAGGAAACUCUGAUGCAGCGACGCCGCGUGAGUGAAGAAGUAAUUCGUUAUGUAAAGCUCUAUCAGCAGGGAAGAUAGUGACGGUACCUGACUAAGAAGCU